AGAAGUCGUAACAAGGUUUCCGUAGGUGAACUUGUGGAAGAAUCAUUG
rnacentral:rRNA from 1 species